UACAGAGGGGGCAAGCGUUGUUCGGAAUUACUGGGCGUAAAGGGCGCGUAGGCGGCCCGCUAAGUCGAACGUGAAAUCCCCGGGCUCAACCCGGGAACUGCGUCCGAUACUGGUGGGCUCGAAUCCGGGAGAGGGAUGCGGAAUUCCAGGUGUAGCGGUGAAAUGCGUAGAUAUCUGGAGGAACACCGGUGGCGAAGGCGGCUCACUGGCCCGUAACUGACGCUGAGGUGCGAAAGCGUGGGGAUCAAACAGGG
rnacentral:rRNA from 1 species